rnacentral:RNase_P_RNA from 1 species
UGGGCCGGCAAGACGGUCGCGUCGCCGAGGCCCUCGGGUCGAGGCGCCGAGGAACGUCCGGGCUCCGCAGAGCAGGGCGGUGGGUAACACCCACCCGGGGUGACCCGCGAGACAGUGCCACAGAAAGUAGACCGCCACGGGCUUCGGCCCGGGGUAAGGGUGAAACGGUGGUGUAAGAGACCACCAGAGGCCGGAGCGAUCCGGUCGGCUCGGUAAACCUCGCCCGGAGCAAGGUCAGACAGAGGACGAUACGGCUGCUCGUCGUGUUCUCGGGUAGACCGCUAGAGGAUCACGGCAACGUGCUCCCGAGAGAGAUGGCCGUCCAGCGUGCUGCCGAGAGGCGCACGUGAACAGAACCCGGCGUAUCAGCCGGCCCGUUCC